rnacentral:rRNA from 1 species
AUGAACGCUGGCGGCGUACCUAAUACAUGCAAGUCGAGCGAACAGAUGAGGUGCUUGCUCCUCUGACGUUAGCGGCGGACGGGUGAGUAACACGUGGAUAACCUACCUAUAAGACUGGGAUAACUUCGGGAAACCGGAGCUAAUACCGGAUAAUAUAUUGAACCGCAUGGUUCAAUAGUGAAAGACGGUUUUGCUGUCACUUAUAGAUGGAUCCGCGCCGCAUUAGCUAGUUGGUAAGGUAACGGCUUACCAAGGCAACGAUGCGUAGCCGACCUGAGAGGGUGAUCGGCCACACUGGAACUGAGACACGGUCCAGACUCCUACGGGAGGCAGCAGUAGGGAAUCUUCCGCAAUGGGCGAAAGCUUGACGGAGCAACGCCGCGUGAGUGAUGAAGGUCUUCGGAUCGUAAAACUCUGUUAUUAGGGAAGAACAAAUGUGUAAGUAACUAUGCACGUCUUGACGGUACCUAAUCAGAAAGCCACGGCUAACUACGUG